rnacentral:rRNA from 1 species
AACGAACGCUGGCGGCAGGCUUAACACAUGCAAGUCGAACGCCCCGCAAGGGGAGUGGCAGACGGGUGAGUAACGCGUGGGAACGUACCCUUUACUACGGAAUAACUCAGGGAAACUUGUGCUAAUACCGCAUGUGCCCUUCGGGGGAAAGAUUUAUCGGUAAAGGAUCGGCCCGCGUUGGAUUAGCUAGUUGGUGGGGUAAAGGCCUACCAAGGCGACGAUCCAUAGCUGGUCUGAGAGGAUGAUCAGCCACAUUGGGACUGAGACACGGCCCAAACUCCUACGGGAGGCAGCAGUGGGGAAUAUUGGACAAUGGGCGCAAGCCUGAUCCAGCCAUGCCGCGUGAGUGAUGAAGGCCCUAGGGUUGUAAAGCUCUUUCACCGGUGAAGAUAAUGACGGUAACCGGAGAAGAAGUCCCGGCUAACUUCGUGCCAGCAGCCGCGGUAAUAC